GCUCAGAUCGUCUAGUGGUCUAGGAUGCAACCCUGUCACGGUUGAGACUCGGGUUCAAAUCCCGAUCUGGGCG
rnacentral:tRNA from 1 species